rnacentral:rRNA from 1 species
AUGGGACGCAAGCAGUGGAGAUCAUUGACUAGGGCGGAGGACCAUGAUGCUUUUGAUCUCCUGGUUUCCAAAGUGCGGGCCUCUGCGUCUUCCUUAUCCAGACAGGAGCAGAUGGGAACACUUCAGUUAGAAGACAUUGGUGAUCACCAUUUAUCUGUAGAAGUUUCUCAAGCUUCGGAUGAUGACUCACCAGUAUCCCCAUGCAUAGGAAGUGCGCACCAGGCAGAAAUCCCCAACCUAGCCACAGACGAUGAACGACGUCAUCUCAUGGCCAGCUCACUCCACAGUUGCAAGUUACAUGUGUAUGAUUAUCCUAGUGUUUCUAUACCAGUUGUAUGGGGAAGCCAUCCACCAAGUCAAGUUAACAAGAAGGAAGAUAUUACAAGUGAACUUAACUGGACAUAUCUGGAUCCUCAUGCUGUGCUACCAGUAGAUCAAAUUGACUCUGCAAAUAAUCAAGUUUGUGAUGAAACACCGGUUCAGUGUUUCACCCGAGAAAGCCGUGACCUCUUCACUGACAAGACAAUGGUGCAUCAAAGAGAAACAAAAAAAAAUGCUUCACUGCAUGGCUUAUCUGCCUCCGUUUGGACUGGUCUAGAGGAAGAAUGCUUUCUUCUUGGGCUGCACAUUUUUGGUAAAAAUCUCAGCCUGGUGAGCAAGUUCAUAGGGAGCAAGACUGUUGGGGAGGUGCUCUGCUACUACUAUGGGAGGUUCUAUAAUGGAACUGCAUAUAAAAGAUGGUCGCACCUUAGAAGGACAAGAACUACUAGAUGCAUUCUCGGGAGAAGCAUUUUUACUGGUCGGCGACAACAGGAGCUUAUAUCUCGUUUGAAAUUGAAAAUAUCCAAGGAGGCUCAUGCUUCGUUAGUUGAGGUUUUAAGGUCUUUGGGCUCUGACCUAACAUCUUUAGAGGAAUGUGUCUUCACUCUGAAAUCCACCAUUGGAGCAGAAACUUUUGUUGAGGUCGUUGGGAUUGGUAAAGGGAAGCAUGAUUUGACUGGAUUUGUUCAGGACACAUCCAAAACAAACAAAGGUCUAUCUGUUUCCGCCAACACACCUAAAGGCAUAAAUUGUUCCAGGCUUGCUAGAGAAGAGAUAGUCAACACCUUAACAGGUGAUUCCAGGAGAAGUAAGGUGAAAUUAAAUGAUCUGUUUUGGGAAGCUGUUUGGCCCCGUUUGCUUGCAAGAGGAUGGCACUCAGAGCAGCCAAAAGACGUCCGCACAACCAAGAAUUGCCUUGUAUAUUUGGUGCCUGCUAUCAAAAAAUUCUCAAGAAGGAAGCUCACUAAAGGCACUCACUAUUUCGAUUCUAUCACUGACGUCCUUAAAAAAGUGGCAGCAGACCCGACUCUUCUUCAGCUAGAGACAGAUGGAAUAGAUAAUGGUGCACCUGUUGAUAUAAAUGGCCGGGCAACAGGCCAAGAUGGUCCUUUGGAUAGUGAUCUGGAGCUUCCAAUGUUCACUAUAAUUGAUACUAGCUUGGUCCAAGGGGAAGCGCCCUUCAAAGUGAGGGCUCUGAGAAGCUUACCUGCUGAUGCAAAUAUUAGCUUUGGAUCUACAGAUGAUUCAGAUAAUAUGUCAAGUGACAGUUCCUCUCAGGAGCAACAUAAUGAUGGUAACUUGUCAGAUGACCAGGAAUGUCAUGGACAAGUGACAGCUCCUGUUAAUGACGUUGAAAUGGGAUCAGUUUACAGUACAACCAAAGAAUCGCUGGUGGAUUUGUUGGAAGCCAUGGGGACUGCACCACAAUCUGUCUUUCCAGUUAAUGGCCAUUCUUCCGAUGAUCGGCACUCAGGCAUUUCUAGUGGUAAUGGUGACAAAGCAGACUUGACAUGCUGCUCUGUCCUUGGAAGGAAAACUGGGAGACUAGUGUAUUUAUCUCCAAAGCGCAGAAGAUUUGCUAGGUACAGUAAUGACCAGACCAGCCAACACAGCUUUUAUUUACCAGAUGAUGCUGAUUUCGAGAAAAAGAAACUGAAGCCUUUAUCCACUACAUCAAAGCCAACUGUUAUUGAUCUUGGUGGUAGUUUCCAAACCAGAACACUGGCAAACUGUUCCAUGAAGGGGAAGCCAUGUGAACAGAUAACAGAGGUUGCGAAGCCUAGUACCAACGGCAGAUCGCUUGAGAAGCGGAAUGUGGUGAAUACAAAUGAGGACAAGUCAUCAGAAGGAAAGUUUGAUGCAGUAGCCAGGACUAGCAUGGGAGGGACUUUGCCAGACAAUCAUGAUUUUUUGCAGAAAAAUGAAGAUCUAACUGUGGUGAAUACAAAUGAGGACAAUUCACCUUCCAUUUCGAAUAACGAGAUAGUUCCUGAUGUUUUGGAUGCUGCCGGAAAACAUGAUAUAACUGUUGAGACGAGCUCUCGGAGGCAGGGAACCAGAAAUCGGCCUCCCACCGUAAGAGCUCUGGAAGCAGUUGCUCUUGGUCUCCUCGGAGGCACAAAGCGCAAGGGGGACGCAAGAAGCUUGGCGGCAAGAAGGCCUCCUCAGCGGGCUCGCAAGAACGAAGAUUGA